rnacentral:rRNA from 1 species
AGAGUUUGAUCCUGGCUCAGGGUGAACGCUGGCGGCGCGCUUAAUGCAUGCAAGUCGAACGUGCCUUCGGGCAAGUGGCAGACGGCUGAGUAACGCGUGAGUAACGUGCCCUCCGGUGGGGUAUAGCCUCGGGAAACUGAGAGUAAUCCCGCAUACGCUCCGGUGGCCUUGGUUGCCGGAUGAAAGCCUUCGGGCGCCGGAGGAGCGGCUCGCGUCCUAUCAGGUAGUUGGUGGGGUAAAAGCCCACCAAGCCGAUGACGGGUAGCUGGUCUGAGAGGACGAUCAGCCAGAGGGGGACUGAGACACGGCCCCCACUCCUACGGGAGGCAGCAGCAGGGAAUUUUGGGCAAUGGGCGAAAGCCUGACCCAGCGACGUCGCGUGAGGGAAGAAGGCCUUAGGGCUGUAAACCUCUUUUCCCGGGGAAGAGAAAGGACGGUACCCGGGGAAUAAGCUCCGGCUAACUACGUGCCAGCAGCCGCGGUAAUACGUAGGGAGCAAGCGUUACCCGGAAUUACUGGGCGUAAAGAGCGCGUAGGCGGCUUGGCUAGUCUCUUGUGAAAGCUCCCGGCUCAACUGGGAGAGGUCAAGGGAUACUAUUUGACUAGAGGACAGCAGAGGUAAGCAGAAUUCCCGGUGUAGCGGUGGAAUGCGUAGAUAUCGGGAGGAACACCAGUGGCGAAAGCGGCUUACUGGGCUGUAUCUGACGCUGAGGCGCGAGAGCGUGGGGAGCAAACUGGAUUAGAUACCCAGGUAGUCCACGCCCUAAACGAUGGAUACUAGGUAUGGGGGGUAUUGACCCCCUCCGUGCCGUAGCUAACGCGUUAAGUAUCCCGCCUGGGGACUACGGCCGCAAGGCUAAAACUCAAAGGAAUUGACGGGGGCCCGCACAAGCGGUGGAGCGUGUGGUUUAAUUCGAUGCUAAGCGAAGAACCUUACCCGGGCUUGACAUGUUGGUAGUAGGGACCCGAAAGGGUAACGACCUCGGGGUAACUCGGGGAGCCUUCACAGGUGCUGCAUGGCUGUCGUCAGCUCGUG